rnacentral:rRNA from 1 species
GCUACAAUGGUCUGUACAAUGGGUAGCCAAGCCGCGAGGCGGAGCCAAUCCUGAAAGCAGGCCUCAGUUCAGAUUGCAGUCUGCAACUCGACUGCAUGAAGCCGGAGUUGCUAGUAACCGCAGGUCAGCAAUACUGCGGUGAAUACGUUCCCGGGUCUU